AUGUCCAGCAUUUUGGAGCAGCUCUGGGCCAACGUGGCUCCUCAUCCCAGUGGGCUGUCUGCCGAGGUCACAGAGAGGAAGUGUUUCAAGGAGCAGCUCCAAGACGUGUUCGCCACCCAGCCAAUCAGCUACAGUCGGUUCAACAGCAUCCUGAGCUGCGAGCUGCAGCGCAGAGCCGCGUUGGCACACAGCAAGACUCUGACUCUGCAGGGCAUCGCUGAUGAGCAGAGUGGCCUCAGUGAGGAGCUGAAGCUGCUGGAGGCUCAGGCUCACUCUCAGCUCCGAGCGGAGGAGAGCAGGACUUCCACUCUGCUGCAGGUUCGAGACGGAGCCGCUCUGAAGACAGAGCUCUCGCUGCUGAAGGACCACCAGCAGCUCCUGCUCCAGCUCCAACAGACUGAGGAAACAGUCAAAGCUCUGCGUGAACACAGUGAGCAGCUGGAAGAGGCUCAGGUCAGAGCCCACAACAUGGUGUCCAACCACAAACAGGCCACCCAGCUGCUGCAGACCGAGCUGCAGAACAGCCAGGCUCAGAGCGAGGAGAAGGAAAACACCAUCCAGACGCUCCGGAGCAAACUGCGCGAGUCUGAGGUUGGUCUCAAGACAAGAUGGUUGACCCUGUUCAUCGUUAUAUCCGACUCUGAGCUAAAGUCUCGCACUCGUUUGACUUUGUUUAAAUGUUGGUUCUUUGACUCGCAUUGAGCAGCUCAUGUUGUAAUACUGUUUCUUUCCAUAUCAGAAAAAAGCUUCACCCAGUGCUGCGGAGCUGGAGAAACUCAAGACUAGACUGUUCAAAAUGGAGGCUGAGUUGAGUUCAGCAUCUGAUAAACACCACCAACAGUAAGAGCCCUUUGUUUUGUUCUUCUUCUGUCUCUGUCUCCGUAUUUAUCGGCUGAACAUUUAUUAAAAAAACCUUUAGCUGUAUUUUUCGAAAGGUGUCAUCAGGUGGAGGAGGAUCUUUCCCCUCACGUUAACAUGGCUGUUGAGAGUCGGGCUCAGGUCAUCAAGACUCUGUUUCCUCUCAGGGUCCAGAGGAUGACCACGGCACUGAAUGAGAAAGAGGAUUCGUUGAGGAAGCUGAAGGAGACCGUGAGGAGAUCACAGCAGCAGGGAGAGGAGUCAUGUGAGUCACUUCAUGUUUUUGUGUCAUCACAAAAUGGAUGAUUAAGAUGAAACCUCUAUCAAUUCCUCAGUUCAGCCUGCAACACAAAAUGAUCACUUAUUUCCUACGCAGUAAGGAAAAGUAUGGAAUUUGAUUUUAGUAAUUUCCAGGUCUGUAUGGGGGGAAAAAGAGAGGGUAUGAAAAAAGUAUUUGUGUUUCCAGACUGAAGUCUGAGCAGACUAAUGAACCGCCUCCAUCUCUGGUCUAGUGUAUCAGUGAUGAACGUCGCCAUAGCGACACACUUUCUGUACCUGCCACUGUCACUACAAUUUCUACAGAGCUGUAGUUCACAUGUGACUAUGAGGCUGAAGUAGUUCCUAUCAACCGGGCGUUAUUCAGAUUCUCCUGGUGACAAGUAGUUACUUUGUACUGUUGAUGAUAAAACUAGGGAUGCACUGAUUUAUCGGCGGUACAUCGGUUUCGGUAGGUAGUCACCUUGUUGACUGCCCUCAGCUAUCGUCAAAUAAGAUAACAUCCACCGAUGUCGCAUUGAUUUUGUUGUUGGUUAUUUGCGGUCUGACUCUGACAACAGCUGAGAUCCGUGUCUCUGUGUCAAAGUGUAUGCGGGGAAAGGGGCGUGGCUAGCUCUCUGUCUCUCUCACACACACAAAUUAUAAUUCACAGCGUACACACAAACAUUCUUGGAACUUUUCUUUCUUUAUUGAACCAAACUAUAAAACAUGACAUGUAUAAAAUAAAUGAGUAUGAAUAUUAGUAAAACUUUUUAAAAUGUUACCGUUGAUGUAGUCUAAAAUAAAUAACAGACUACAGUGUUUCCCCUAGGAUGGAGUUGUAGUAGCAGAUAUAUAUAUAUACAUAGACAGACCAUUCGGACUUUACUGUUGAAAAGGGCAGUAGGUCUUUCUCUGUGAACCGGUCACUUCUCCUCAGGCUCCUCCCACUAACUGCAGCUGUUGUCUCUGACUGGGACCAGCAGAAGUAGAGUUUUGACUUUAUUUGCAAAACAUUUGCUUCACUUGUGGAAACGACUGUUGUCUCCAUUUGGUUUUUUCCAAGUAAGAGUCGUUCGCACUCUGCCAUCCUGUCUUCAAUCGGCGCAGUGAGAUCUGGCCACGCCCCCCUGCACAGCGCACGCCUCGACACACAGACUCAGGAUCCGGAAUAGUGAAAAUUCAUCAUAGACGAAUGAAUUAAUUUCUUUAAUACCUCAGCAGCACCGGUAACGUGACUCACUAACGCUGCAAGGCUGUAACACGUUACGUUCCUUCGAAAUAAAAGUCAACUCACUUUUGGACUGUUAAAUGCUUGAUUACCGGUGUUGGUAUAGAAGUUCUUCCGAGAACCAGUAACGGCAAAAUAAGCCAUCGCCGAAUCCCUAGUGCAGACAGAGAGCUGGUCCAUGUGACGUUGGCAGAGAGUGAACCAGUCAGAAGUCUGGUUGUACUUAACCAAAAUGAAUGGAGAUGACGCUCUUGCCACAAGUGUAACAAAUGUUUUGCCAGUAAAGGCGGAACACGGGGUGGGAGGGGGGUGCGGAGUGAUCCCUCUGCUGUGUUAUCAUUGCCAAAGUGACAUGCAGUAAUUGAGCCACAGCAAGUAAAGUGCGUCUGUGGAAUGAAGACCUGCCGGAUUCAGAGCUCUGAAGCCUCUGAUCAAAGAGCUUCUCACCUGAAGCUCCACUCAGUUCACUGAUCCCUGAACAGGAGAAUCAGCUGUUGUUGUCAUGAACCGCUGUUGUUGUGAUUGAGAAUGUUUCUUAGGUAGUUCAGUAGUG
ensembl:lncRNA